AUGCGCCGCUCGUCCACUGCGGGUAGGGGUCCGCCUUCCACGCCUAGCUGACGACUGCUCGCUAGAUGUAUUGGCGGCUCUGUUGGCC
rnacentral:sRNA from 2 species